rnacentral:rRNA from 1 species
GUGGGGAAUAUUGGACAAUGGGCGCAAGCCUGAUCCAGCCAUGCCGCGUGAGUGAUGAAGGCCUUCGGGUUGUAAAGCUCUUUAGCCGAUGAUUAUAAUGACUGUAGUCGGAAAAUAAGCCCCGGCUAACUUCGUGCCAGCAGCCGCGGUAAUACGAAGGGGGCGAGCGUUAUUCGGAAUCACUGGGCGUAAAGCGUGCGUAGGCGGCUUUGCAAGUUGGGAGUGAAAGCCCAGGGCUCAACCCUGGAAUUGCUCUCAAAACUGCAAGGCUCGAAUUCGGGAGAGGAUAGCGGAAUUGUCAGUGUAGCAGUGAAAUGCGUAGAUAUUGACAGGAACACCAGUGGCGUAAGCGGCUAUCUGGACCGAUAUUGACGCUGAGGCACGAAAGCGUGGGGAUCAAACAGGAUUAGAUACCCGUGUAGUCC